AUGUCUACUGGAACUAAUGCCAUUGCGUGACUAGAUCACUUAAGCCAAAUCUCGCGAUAAACAUUUCCGCCAUUUUAUUUUACACGAGGCAGCUGUCGGAGUGCAACGGGUGAGCAACAGUCUGAGUGAAAACCUUCACAUUUCUACUUCGAUCUUAAGAAAGCCAUACAGGUUUGGAACCAAGUGAAAACGCAGUGAUGACCAGCUUUCCAUCAGCUAUGGAAUGUGAAAUAAAAAAUGCUAUUUCUAAUAAUUUCAAACAAGCACCAGGGAGGGCAGGGGGUGGGGGUUAUGGAUCUAAAGUAAACAGUUAAUUCUUAAAAAUUAAUUGUUUUACAUAUUUUUCCAAUGUUUUAUUUGUUCAUUUUUAUGUUUGAAUGUUGUCCAAGUUGUUGUUGUCUAUAUAAUUGUUCAAAAUAAAUCCCUUUAUAUUCAAUUUGUUUGGAUGGAUUUUAAUUUGAGAACCUGUUAUAUUUGAGUGAAAAGAAUCCUUAUGCCUCAUUUUGUUGUCUAUUACAUGUAUAUGUAGUGUAAUGGAUGACUAGUCUAUUCUUGGGCUAUGGUUAGACGUCUAUUAGAUUUUCACUGACAGCCCAAAAUCAGCCUUGUUUUAGC